rnacentral:rRNA from 1 species
UACAGAGGGGGCAAGCGUUGUUCGGAAUUACUGGGCGUAAAGGGCGCGUAGGCGGCCGCCUAAGUCAGACGUGAAAUCCCUCGGCUCAACCGGGGAACUGCGUCUGAUACUGGGUGGCUUGAAUUCGGGAGAGGGAUGCGGAAUUCCAGGUGUAGCGGUGAAGUGCGUAGAUAUCUGGAGGAACACCGGUGGCGAAGGCGGCAUCCUGGACCGGUAUUGACGCUGAGGCGCGAAAGCCAGGGGAGCAAACGGG